AUUUUCAGAUGUAUCAACAAUGAAGAGUUGCUUGCUCACUUUUAUUUGAGCUAUUUAUUACUUUGGAACAGUCAAAAACACUCUAAGAAAGCUGUAAUUCAUGAGCAAAGUGCUGAUAGGCCGAUAAUAGAAAUAGGCUGAAAAAGGGUAUGGUUCCCCUCGAGGGGGACGUCACUCCUGCGUUCACCGAGCGAUAAAGCUCCCCUUUCAAACCUUUGCAGCGCUAACAUUUGCUUUUCCGCUUUAACUUGCUUUAACUCGCGUUAACCGCGAUAACUUGCUUUUUGGCUUACCUUUUGUUGCGAUCUCGCAUCAGACUGCUCGAUUUUUUUUGACAGCGAGAACUGUCAAAAGCAAAUGACAGUUCUCGUUGUCAAACCAUUCGAGCAGUUUGUUUUGUUUUCCUCUUGAAAGAAAAGGGACAAAUCAUCCGCCGGAACCGUUUCCUGCGCCUGCCACAGGUUUGUGUUCCGGGGACUCGAGACGGCUUCAUCACUGGCUCGGUCUUUCGUAGAUUUCGUGGUGGAGACAGCCUUCUCAGGUUGGGAAUCUGCAAAAAGGAUUGACCUGGAACGGCCAAGAAGAGCACGCCCUACAUCGACGGGACGCGGUCCGUCUUCAAGUGUGCCACCCGGACGAACCUUCCCAGUGCCGCUGGUCUGAGCAGAUACAAGUUGUAACAAUAUCGACGAAUCGUGCGCAUUUGCUUCCGGAGUUGAUCAAGUCGACUUGAGGCGAGCAGGCUGAAGGAACCGUGGAAAAGAGUGGUGCCAACCUGGAGGUGGUCAGGGUGAUCCUUGAGCUGGCCGUGAUAAUUAGGGCAUUCUAAAAUCUGUCGGAGUGCUUAUUGGAACUGGCCGGAAUCUGGUUCGAGAAAACUCACGAUGUUAAAGUGACUAAGUGAUCGAAAAGGAAAAUGCAAAGGAACAGAACGACAAUGUCAAGGCCUCCAUCAUGAUACUCCAAGAGUCAAGAUUGCGGAAAACGGUAGAUUGAGGAAGCGAAGAAAACGUGCAUAGAGGAAGUCACGAACGGUUUCGAUGCUAUCGGUGCCAGGUACGGCUGGUUCUGCAGCCAACAGUGGAUCGUCGUCCAGUUAGGAAAACAGCUCCUAAAACCAGGAGAUGACAAAACGCCGCUUCGCAAGAAAAAGAAGAAGUAAGACGCAACACUUCUGUGUAGUAACUAAUAAAUUGUAGUAGGAUGCGUUUU